rnacentral:rRNA from 1 species
GGUGAGUAAAUACGCGGGCAACCCUGCCCCCUUCUGCUUUCGGGAUAAAGCUUUGGAAAACGGGGUCUAAUACCGGGAUGUGCCCUGUCUGGUCCGCAUGGGCUGGGCGGGAAAAAGAAUGUUUUUCGGCGGGGGAAUGGGCUCCGCGGCCCUAUCAGCUUGUUGGUGGGGUGACGGCCUACCAAAGGCGUCGACGGGUAGCCGGCCUGAGAGGGGUGGUCGGCCACACUAGGACUGAGAUUACGGCCCAGACUCCUAAGGGAGGCCGCCAGUGGGGGAAAUUUCACAAAGGGCCCCAGCCUUAUGCAAGGAAGCCCCGGGGGGGAUGGAGGCUUUCGGGUUGUAAGCCCCUUUCGGCGCGGGAAAAGGCUCCGUUUUGCGGGGUUGAGGGUAAGGGUCAAAGAAGCGCCGGCUAACUACGUGCCAGCAGCCGCGGUAAUACGUAGGGCGCGAGCGUUGUCCGGAAUUAUUGGGCGUAAAGGGCUCGUAGGCGGCUUGUCGCGUCUGCUGUGAAAACGCGGGGCUCAACUCCGCGCGUGCAGUGGGUACGGGCAGGCUGGAGUGCGGCAGGGGUGGCUGGAAUUCCUGGUGUAGCGGUGGAAUGCGCAGAUAUCAGGAAGAACACCGAUGGCGAAGGCAGGCCACUGGGCCGUCACUGACGCUGAGGAGCGAAAGCGUGGGGAGCGAACAGG